ACGAGUACAGCGAUCUAGACUGCAGUCUGCAAAGCUGAUAUUUUCCAAAGGACUCGCUCGAUCAGAAAUAAACAUAGUUGGCAUGGAACACUGAGCCGCAGGAUCAGGAAAAUGCUCCGACGAUCGUUAUGGCCACAUUCAAUCCUGCAGCGGAUGCAUGGCAGCAGCCUCACAAGAUAGGCUUGAAAAUGGUCCUAGUUAAUAGAUAAACAGGGGCUUAUCCACAGGAUCAGUGAUCUAAUUACAUGAACACCAACUACUUUAAUGUUGAUCAAUGGAGACUAACCGUAAUCAUGAGUCGGGUCGUCACCCAUGGGUAGUGGAAGCAGAGAUCGUUAAGACCGACUGUAAGCGCUUCAUGUGCACUCACCUAGCGCAAGGCAGUUGUCGACGCCGCCUCCUGAACGCCGAUGAAGGAGCAGAGACGGCACAACGGCGUCGGUGGUGGUCUUCAGGCUGAUCCGGCAUCCUAAGGAUCGGUGAGUUAGUUUGGAAAUGAGUGGACACUGGACACUCUUGUGCAUGCAUUGGC
rnacentral:lncRNA from 1 species